UAGGGAAUAUUGGACAAUGGGGGCAACCCUGAUCCAGCCAUGCCGCGUGAGUGAAGAAGGCCCUCGGGUUGUAAAGCUCUUUUGUCCGGAAAGAAAAGCAUUCGGUGAAUACCCGGAUGUUCUGACGGUACCGGAAGAAUAAGCACCGGCUAACUUCGUGCCAGCAGCCGCGGUAAUACGAAGGGUGCAAGCGUUACUCGGAAUUACUGGGCGUAAAGCGUGCGUAGGUGGUUGUUUAAGUCUGAUGUGAAAGCCCUGGGCUCAACUUGGGAAUGGCAUUGGAAACUGGGCAGCUAGAGUGCGGUAGAGUGUAGUGGAAGUCCCGGUGUAGCAGUGAAAUGCGUAGAGAUCGGGAGGAACAUCUGUGGCGAAGGCGACUGCCUGGACCAGCACUGACACUGAGGCACGAAAGCGUGAGGAGCAAACA
rnacentral:rRNA from 1 species